UUCAAAGGCAUGAAGACUGAAGUCUUCUCCCAGUCAGAACAUCACAGGCUGUAGCACAAGACAGCUUUCCCACUGUCCUAUCUGUAGACCUAAGUCCUAGCCUAGAGGGAUAUAUAUAGGGUAGACAGUAUCUUCAAUCUUCAUGUCCUUAAAUACUUGGCUAUU
rnacentral:sRNA from 1 species